UACGAAGGAUCCAAGCGUUAUCCGGAUUUAUUGGGUUUAAAGGGUGCGUAGGCGGAUUGAUAAGUCAAUGGUGAAAGCCCCAAGCUUAACUUGGGAAUUGCCGUUGAUACUGUCAGUCUUGAGUACAUUUGAGGUGGGCGGAAUGUGUCAUGUAGCGGUGAAAUGCUUAGAUAUGACACAGAACACCGAUUGCGAAGGCAGCUCGCUAAAUUGUAACUGACGCUGAGGCACGAAAGCGUGGGGAUCAAACAGG
rnacentral:rRNA from 1 species